AUACGCGCGCAUCAAAGGAAAUAAAUAACGCUUAACCGCCGCUGUGGAAUCCGGCCACGCCGGGUCACACGUCUGUCGGGCCAUCUGCAGGGCAGGGCCAGGCCAAAAGGGGUCCACAGGGCUGUUUUGAACUCCAGGAGAGAGAGAGAGAACUUUCUGGGAACUGGGGUUAGAGCAGACGAAAAGAAGGCCAUACCACACAAAAAUGAAUGGCUGGUGUGUGGGGGAGAGACAAACGGCUAGAAGCAGCUAGAAGCGAUGUCUCCAGCCCGAAGCCCGCGGGGACAAGACCGUCUGUGCUCGGGCCCCGCAAGCAACCAGCCGUCAGUGAGCGACAAUAAACACGUUAUGUCAAGGCCUCUUCAACAGGCUUGCUAUUUGGAAGACAUUCAGAUCUUGGAAAUUAUUCACAUCGGAGGGAAAACAUCUCAGACGCAAGAAAGUAUCGUGUCUAAAGUAGGUACCCCCUCGGCACCUUUGCCCUCUACAAGGACAUGUCUGUGCUGUCUUCUCUUGGGCGCCCUGUGCCUGGCCCCAGGCGGCAUCUCGGUGGCUCGAGGCUGUGACCCCACUGUCCAGGCCCUUCCUUCCGCAGAGGACGAAUACGUAGUAUGAAGCACGGACCGGCUCUGCGAGUGCCAGGCCAGCACAACCUCUUGUAAGAGGCUCAGGCAGCAGGUGGCAUUAUCCUUAUUUUUCAGAUGAGGAAUCUGAGGCUGGCUCGGGAGGCUGAAGAUGAGCCCCCCCACCCCCACUCCCCAGUCUGCCCCUUGGGCUGUCAUGGGGAAGCUCAAGUAGGGACGGGAGGAAUCAGCCGGAAUGCCUGCCAAGAAAGCUCAGCUUCGGGCCCAGCCCCAGGCCGGGGAGCCGCUUCCUGUGGCCCUGCCGGGGUGGCCCCAGAGGAGAACCUGCUGGAAUGUUUUCAUCCACAUGCACAGGCAGUGAAUCAGCGGGGCCUGGCACAUGGACAGAUCUGCUCGCGGGCCCAGCCUCUAGGGGACAUGGCCUUUGCCCCCAGGCCCGGGGAGGAGCUGCCCUUCUGGCCCAGCUCCCAUCUCAGGUUCAGUCUUCUCCUCUUUAGACCUCACGCAACAAUGCUGCGGAGGCAUUUUCUGUAGAAACCAGUGAUCCUCUGACUUGGGCUGGGAUCGGGGAGAUACGUGGUGCCUCAUGCCCCAGAAGGGCAGCCGGCCCAUCUCUCAGCUGACCCCAAACCUAGCCCAUCUGUAAAACAACAACAGUGUGAGGGGCUUCAGGCCAUGCAACUGA